UGGUUCUGGCAUCGAUGAAGGACGCAGCAAAAUGCGAUAAGUAAUGUGAAUUGCAGAAUUCAGUGAAUCAUCGAAUCUUUGAACGCACAUUGCGCCCUCUGGUAUUCCGGGGGGCAUGCCUGUUCGAGCGUCAUUACAACCCUCAAGCUCUGCUUGGUGUUGGGCUUCACCAGUCUGGUGUGCCUCAAACUCAGUGGCGCUGCCAUCUGGCUUCGAGCAUAGUACAUUUCUUGCUCUGGAGUUCAGUGUGUGCUGCUGCCUGCCAGCAACAUCCAUUUUCAAAGGUUGACCUCGGAUCAGGUAGAGAUACCCGCUGA
rnacentral:misc_RNA from 1 species